AUGACGAAAUUAAAACCUCCUCUGUCAUCUGCUGCAGCCUUGAGCUUGCUUAUUCUACCUGGCAACUCUCUUCUCAUACCGCCCAGGGCUUCGUUGCAGAUUUGGUUCUCUGGGUUUGUGUCUGCUUUGCUGGGUAUGGUCUGCAAUCUGGGAAGGACCAGGGAGUGCCAGAUCCAGGAGGUCAUAUUAAAAUGGCAGUGGAGGGGGAAGACGGGAUUAUUUCUGAGCAUUAGCACCACGUUGAUGCUCUCAAAAAUCACACUGGCUGCUAUUCCCCUUGGACAGUGUCUCAGCCACCAACUCUAAAUGCCUUCAGAUGUUCAAGUCAGCAGAUCAAGCACCCUCCUCAUUGGCCAUGGUGUUGUCAGCUCGUCAGCAAGUGUUUACGGCAUGUCCCCUGGGUGCCAUCUCUGCGCCAGGUGCUCUGUGCUCCUGGCUUAUAUGUGUGAAGAAAACAGUUAAUUGACUGCUGGACGUGCUGUUCUGGAAGGGUUCUGAUGCUUUGGUAAGCAUUGCCAGGGUAACCAGACCAAGAGUCUGUUAAUUAAUUAAUACUGCAGUGAUCGUACCCCCUCCCCUGUAGCUAAAGAGAAGAGGGAACUGCCUGGGGUGCUUUCUCCUUUGUGAGGGGCAGGUGAAGGAGAAAUGCAGAGGUUCAAGUGGAGUAGAGGCUCUGUCCCAAUCCAGAGCUAACUGGGACAAGACAUGGAGACAGCUGAUGUUGGGGGGAUUACGGAUGAAAAAAGUUCAGCCCGUGACCAAGUGGGUAAGCAGAAGAAAAAUCGUUUGAGGCUUUCUUAGGAGAGAAGGAAACCACAGCAUAGAGGGUCUAUCAGAGGAGAAGCUUAAUUGCUGAGGUGGGGUUCAGGUUUCCUGCAGAGGUUAGCCUUCGAUCAGGGCGCCUGAGAAGAUCUACCUACAAGGGCUUUCGAUUCAUGAAGAAAGACACAUCCAUGUGGGCUUUGUUUAAUUUUGCAUGUGUAUAUGUAAUCACAAAAAAACAAUUAGAGAUUGUCCAAAUUCCCCCAAUAAUCCAUGGGGAACUUGGAAAUCACUAAUUGGUUUUUAUGAUUACAUGCACACAUGCUAAAUUAAACAAAACAGAGACUGUGCUUGUGAUUUUUAUUUUUUAUUUUUUAUUUUUGGCUGUGCCCAUGGCCCAUGGAAGUUCCCAGGCCAGAAAUCAAUCCCGGGACACAGCAGAGACAACACUGGGUCCUUAACCCAUGGAACCACCAGGGAACUCCAUG
ensembl:lncRNA